rnacentral:ncRNA from 1 species
UACUUGCUGCUCUUUUUGAUCAAAAUUAUACAUGCAAGCAUCCGCACACCUGUGAAAAUGCCCAACCCAAACUAAAAAGGAGCAGGUAUCAGGCACGAUCUUCAGCCCAAAACACCUUGCUAUGCCACACCCACACGGGUACUCAGCAGUAAUAAAUAUUAAGCCAUGAGCGAAUUAAGCUACACCAAAGCUCGACUUAGUUAUGAUCAUAUAGGGCCGGUUAACCUCGUGCCAGCCACCGCGGUUAUACGAGGGGCCCAAAACAGCAGACAUCGGCGUAAAUUGUGGCUAGAGCAACUACCAUAAACAAGGAGAAUAAACCAAACCCUAAUCGUAAAACACAGGAUAAAUGAAACCUAUCUCUCCUAAUAUACGGCCACUUGAACCCACGAAGACUAAGAAACAAACUAGGAUUAGAUACCCUACUAUGCUUAGUUGUAAACAAGAUACUACAAAACACUCGUAUCCGCCAGAGAAUUACAAGCGAAAAGCUUAAAACUCAAAGGACUUGGCGGUGCUCCGUACUCGACUUAGAGGAGCCUGUCCUAUAAUCGAUACUCCACGAUAAACCUUACCAUUUUUUGCUAGCUCAGCCUAUAUACCGCCGUCGAAAACUUACCCUAUGAAGGAACACAAGUAAGUAAAAUAGUCAACCACUAACACGUCAGGUCAAGGUGUAGCAUAUAAAAUGGCAGAGAUGGGCUACAUUUUCUAAAUAAGAACACACGGCAAUGGGUCAUGAAAACUCCCAUGAAGGCGGAUUUAACAGUAAGAUAAUCAAGAAAAAUUACCUAAAACUCGCUCCGGAGCGCGCACACACCGCCCGUCACCCUCCUCAAC